rnacentral:rRNA from 1 species
GACGAACGCUGGCGGCGUGCCUAAUACAUGCAAGUAGAACGCUGAAGGAGGAGCUUGCUUCUCUGGAUGAGUUGCGAACGGGUGAGUAACGCGUAGGUAACCUGCCUGGUAGCGGGGGAUAACUAUUGGAAACGAUAGCUAAUACCGCAUAAUAGCAGUUAUUGCAUGAUAACUGUUUGAAAGGUGCAAUUGCACCACUACCAGAUGGACCUGCGUUGUAUUAGCUAGUUGGUGGGGUAACGGCUCACCAAGGCGACGAUACAUAGCCGACCUGAGAGGGUGAUCGGCCACACUGGGACUGAGACACGGCCCAGACUCCUACGGGAGGCAGCAGUAGGGAAGCUUCGGCAAUGGACGGAAGUCUGACCGAGCAACGCCGCGUGAGUGAAGAAGGUUUUCGGAUCGUAAAGCUCUGUUGUAAGAGAAGAACGAGUGUGAGAGUGGAAAGUUCACACUGUGACGGUAGCUUACCAGAAAGGGACGGCUAACUACGUG